rnacentral:rRNA from 1 species
GGGGAAUAUUGGACAAUGGGCGCAAGCCUGAUCCAGCCAUACCGCGUGGGUGAAGAAGGUCUUCGGGUUGUAAAGCCCUUUUGUUGGGAAAGAAAUCCAGCCGGCUAAUACCUGGUUGGGAUGACGGUACCCAAAGAAUAAGCACCGGCUAACUUCGUGCCAGCAGCCGCGGUAAUACGAAGGGUGCAAGCGUUACUCGGAAUUACUGGGCGUAAAGCGUGCGUAGGUGGUGGUUUAAGUCCGUUGUGAAAGCCCUGGGCUCAACCUGGGAACUGCAGUGGAUACUGGAUCACUAGAGUGUGGCAGAGGGUAGUGGAAUUCCCGGUGUAGCAGUGAAAUGCGUAGAGAUCGGGAGGAACAUCAGUGGCGAAGGCGACUGCCUGGGCCAACACUGACACUGAGGCACGAAAGCGUGGGGAGCAAACA